UACGUAGGUGACAAGCGUUGUCCGGAUUUACUGGGCGUAAAGAGCGCGCAGGCGGUCGUUCAAGUCGAGUGUGAAAGCCCCCGGCUCAACUGGGGAGGGUCAUUCGAUACUGAUCGACUCGAAGGCAGGAGAGGGUAGUGGAAUUCCCGGUGUAGUGGUGAAAUGCGUAGAUAUCGGGAGGAACACCAGUGGCGAAGGCGACACGCUGGGCCGUACCUGACGCUGAUACGCGACAGCAUGGGGAGCGAACGGG
rnacentral:rRNA from 1 species